AUGCAGUGUUGGACUACAUAGGAAGUACAUAUCCUUCAUUAGUGCUGGCAAGACAGAUGAAUUAAUGCCUUUCAGGGAACUUCCCUAUUUGUUUAAUAUCUAACUAGCCCUAAAGUUAAUAUUCAAAAUUAUUGAUAAAAUGCAUUAGGAGAUCUGCUGGUAGAUGUCUUAAGAAGAAGAUCAGAGUUUCGGAAGGACAUUCUCACACAGAUCUCAGUUUACCUCCUAUUCCAGAGGGCAUAAAUAUGCAAUGGUACUAUUCAUAAACUCAACCAAUGGCACAAUCAUUUUAAUACUGACAUGCUUCAGUACAAAUAAAUAUAAUUCGGAGAAAAUCUUUCAUGAAUAUUCCUUACGGAGCUGAAUGUUAUCUGAAGCAAGAUAUUACUAUGGGAGGAUUAUAUUACAUGCACUCUGUUUUGGCAAUGCUUUGGGAUACAGUCAUUAAAUAGGUUGGCUGAAAAUUCAUUUCACUGGUUAAUUAAAUCCAAGAGUUUGCAA